rnacentral:misc_RNA from 1 species
UUUUAGCCCCGAUUAAACGGCUUGUUUGAGCUCUCCCGAUUCGUCGGGAAGCGAGUAGUGAAAGCGGGUGUAGUC